CAGAUGUGUAGAAAUAUUUGUGUUAUUUUUUGGUACUAAACAUGCCCGUUUUUUAUUUUACCCCUAGGGUGUGCUAAUAUAAAUAUAGAUUGAGAAAUUCUUCAGGCGUUUCUGAGGUCACGAGUUCAAUUUGUCACGACGAUUAUUUUCUGGAAGACCCACGUGGAACCAGCAAUCCCAAAUGGGAAACAGUUAAGUCUUUAAAGUAUGUGAGGCUGCAUUGUGCUUUUGCCGAUUAUUUUAACUUGAAGCUAUGCAAAGAUUUUACGAUGUUCAUCUCAUCAACCAUGAUGGCACCAGAUCUGUGUAGGUGCAUCAUAUUCCCUGACAUGUCUCAACCUGCUUCUACAACUUGUCCUUUUUCUGCAAUUUCAGGCUGCUGUUACCUGUUCAACUCUACCACAGGAUAACAGCGUUGGCUGUAGGGGAUGUCUACCAUCAACAACCUGCAGUGAUCUAUCUGCUGUUUACACCAUCUGGUUCUGCCUGAAGAGGAUUCGUAUGUUUGCAGUCAGGCAUUUUAGAGUAAUUGUGAUUUCAAUUACAGGUCGAUGUGAAGUUUGUAAUAUUUGAAAAGAUAUACUGUAUUGAAUACAUAAUCAUGCUGACAUCCUGUGUUGGAGGCUACUCCUAAAGGACUAUUCCUUGCGUAAUUGGUCAGUUGCUCGAUUAAGUUCUGGGUCCAUACAUGUUAAGAGAAGGGAUCAAGAAUUGCUAGAACGAUGUGCGGAACAAGGAGCUCCACCCUGUCUCUUUGCUCCACCCCCCCCC
rnacentral:lncRNA from 1 species